rnacentral:rRNA from 1 species
GUGAGGAAUAUUGGUCAAUGGGCGAGAGCCUGAACCAGCCAAGUCGCGUGAAGGAUGAAGGUUUUAUGAAUUGUAAACUUCUUUUGCAGGGGAAUAAAGUACGGUACGUGUACCGUUUUGUAUGUACUCUGCGAAUAAGGAUCGGCUAACUCCGUGCCAGCAGCCGCGGUAAUACGGAGGAUCCAAGCGUUAUCCGGAUUUAUUGGGUUUAAAGGGUGCGCAGGCGGGUUGAUAAGUCAGCGGUGAAAGUUUGCAGCUUAACUGUAAAAUUGCCGUUGAAACUGUCGAUCUUGAGUGCAAAUGAGGUAAGCGGAAUGUGUUGUGUAGCGGUGAAAUGCUUAGAUAUAACACAGAACACCGAUUGCGAAGGCAGCUUACUGGGAUGCAACUGACGCUCAUGCACGAAAGCGUGGGUAUCAAACAGGAUUAGAUACCCGUGUAGUCC